AUUGAACGCUGGCGGCAUGCCUUACACAUGCAAGUCGAACGGCAGCACGGGAGCAAUCCUGGUGGCGAGUGGCGAACGGGUGAGUAAAGUAUCGGAACGUGCCCAGUCGUGGGGGAUAACGUAGCGAAAGUUACGCAAAAACCGCAUACGAUAUAUGGAUGAAAGCGGGGGAUCGCAAGACCUCGGACGAAUGGAGCGGCCGAUAUCAGAUUAGGUAGUUGGUGGGGUAAAGGCUCACCAAGCCGACGAUCUGUAGCUGGUCUGAGAGGACGACCAGCCACACUGGGACUGAGACACGGCCCAGACUCCUACGGGAGGCAGCAGUGGGGAAUUUUGGAAAAUGGGCGAAAGCCUGAUCCAGCCAUGCCGCGUGCAGGAUGAAGGCCUUCGGGUUGUAAACUGCCUUUGUACGGAACGAAAAGGUUUGGGCUAAUAAGCUGAGCCCAUGACGGUACCGUAAGAAUAAGCACCGGCUAACUACGUGCCAGCAGCCGCGGUAA
rnacentral:rRNA from 1 species